UGGGGAAUAUUGGACAAUGGGCGCAAGCCUGAUCCAGCCAUGCCGCGUGAGUGAUGAAGGCCUUAGGGUUGUAAAGCUCUUUCGGCGGGGAAGAUAAUGACGGUACCCGCAGAAGAAGCCCCGGCUAACUUCGUGCCAGCAGCCGCGGUAAUACGAAGGGGGCUAGCGUUGCUCGGAAUCACUGGGCGUAAAGCGCACGUAGGCGGCUUACUAAGUCAGGGGUGAAAUCCUGGAGCUCAACUCCAGAACUGCCUUUGAUACUGGUGAGCUUGAGUUCGGGAGAGGUGAGUGGAACUGCGAGUGUAGAGGUGAAAUUCGUAGAUAUUCGCAAGAACACCAGUGGCGAAGGCGGCUCACUGGCCCGAUACUGACGCUGAGGUGCGAAAGCGUGGGGAGCAAACA
rnacentral:rRNA from 1 species